UACAGAGGGCUCAAGCGUUGUUCGGAUUCAUUGGGCGUAAAGGGUAUGUAGGCGGCGCCGUAAGUCGGGUGUGAAAUUUCGGAGCUUAACUCCGAAACUGCAUUCGAUACUGCGGUGCUUGAGGACUGGAGAGGAGACUGGAAUUUACGGUGUAGCGGUGAAAUGCGUAGAUAUCGUAAGGAAGACCAGUGGCGAAGGCGGGUCUCUGGACAGUUCCUGACGCUGAGGCACGAAGGCCAGGGGAGCAAACGGG
rnacentral:rRNA from 1 species